rnacentral:rRNA from 1 species
GGCAAAAGAGAGCUUGAUUGCAAGACAUACAGGUCGAGCAAGGAUGAAAAUCGGACUUAGUGAUCCGGUGGUUCUGCGUGGAAGGGCCAUCGCUCAACGGAUAAAAGCUACCCUGGGGAUAACAGGCUUAUCUCCCCCAAGAGUCCACAUCGACGGGGAGGUUUGGCACCUCGAUGUCGGCUCAUCACAUCCUGGGGCUGUAGUAGGUCCCAAGGGUUGGGCUGUUCGCCCAUUAAAGUGGUACGCGAGCUGGGUUCAGAACGUCGUGGGACAGUUCGGUCCCUAUCCGUCGCAGGCGUAGGAAAUUUGAGAAGACCUGUCCUUAGUACGAGAGGACCGGGAUGGACGUACCUCUGGUGUACCAGUUGUUCUGCCAAGGGCAUGGCUGGGUAGCUA